rnacentral:lncRNA from 1 species
CAAUCUUCAACCCUAGAAGAUUUGGAGCUUGUUUGGAGGCAUCUUGGGAGGUUAGUACUUGGAUUCUACCCUUUGAUCCUUGAUUUGGUAGGUUUUACCAUAUGGAACCCUAGAGAUGCGAUAUUAGGGUUGAUGUUUGGGCGCUUUUUGAAUUUAGGGCUUUUGGCAGUAUGAUUGGAUUAGAACCUUCCUGGGUUUGGACUUGAAGGGGAUUUAGUAUCUUUUUGAGCUUAGAGAGAUUUUGCACAUUAUGGUGAGUUUUUAGCCCUUUUGCCCAGUUCUGUUAAGUUGUGAUCUUAUAGUUUGAUGUAUGCCGCGUGUAUCUCUUCGCUCAAUUAACUCUCUUGGGAUUUUGAGACUCAGGUGGACAAUCCGUAUCGGGUUGGUUUGACCUAGCCACACAAUGAAGAAAAUCUCAUUUGUUGAUGAUUUAAGGUUAUAAAAUGAAAAAGUCAUGCAUAUUCUUGUUAUAGUAUUUAUUAUGUGAAUUUUAGAUAUGUUAAAAUGCCUAUGAUUGCAUAUAGUAAUUUGGGCCUCUAUGUAGUAGAGGAGCAUGCUGUGUGCAUAUAGCCAUUCUGGUUGAGAUUUAAAACUAAGAUCCCUAUUAUUGAAAUGAACCUUGCUUUUAUGCAUUUAGCUUUUGCCAAUUGUGACAUUAGGGCAUUUUUGAAGCUAGAAGGCUUGAGGACUUAGACUAUUGAGAGAUUGGCAAUGGUCAUAAAGAGGCAUUGGUGCCCGGGGUUAAGUGAACCUUUGUAGUAUGUUUUAAUGGAAUAUGCGAACAUGAAUUGGGCAUGAUUUAGUUGUGGAUGCUUAUAGUGUUAUAAGGGCACUAAGCAAGGUAGCUUGCAGUUUUGGGAGCCGUCACUUUGAGACUUUGGACUAGAUCCUUGGAUGCUAGUGCCUGUGCCAGCGUGAGGCGAUGAGAGUGAGUGACUGAAACUUGACCUUGCUUGUUUCCAUUUGUGCUCGUUGCACAUGCUUGUGAGGGUCGCCUCCCUACAAGCGCGUCUCUCAGGAGUUUAGCCUGACGUGCGUAUCUAUGUUCGCUCGUGCGUGAGGGAUUGAGAACGCUACGGAGGAUCGGCAGGUGGGACGAACAAUCCAAGAGUAGGGAUGUACGGUUGGCUACCAAGCCUUAGCGGCAAAGCUGAGACUGACUUUAUUGAUCGGUCUUAAUCGAAUGAAAAUGAAAUCAGACACGGUGUUAAGAUAUGAAUGAUGCACUGUUAGAUAGGCUUAUAUGUUGGAUUACUUGACACGCUAUGCCUAGCAUUGGUAUAUAUGUAGUAACUUGCUGAUUUUCAUUCAUUGUUGUCAGUAUACGUGGGUCGCAUGAUAGAGACUCAUUCUUUUAAGCAUGACAUCUUGGCAGUAGCGUUUAACUUGUUGCAUCGUACGUACUUGUUUCUUGCUAGGUAAUUUACUUACAUCUUACAUGUACAUCAUUUAAUCUAUGAUUGACAUAGCCACAAAUGAUUUCAUAUAUGCUUUUUUUCGGCAGUUAUUUACACGCGUCUUUAUCGCUUUAUUACUUAAUUGUCGUUACUUACCCUUUCUUUUGGGGCCUAGUUGGUGCAUUGAGUCUGAGGUCGAGUAAUUGCCCACUGGGAACUAGUACAUUAUAGUUCUCACGCUCUUGUUUUGUGUUUUCCUCAGAGCGCUUCCACGCGGGAGAGGCUAGGACCGAGGGAAGGGCGUGGCUUCGAGGCUAGCUCUGUCAGGCGUGGAUGACGAGUCGUAGGUGGUUUACUCUCGAUGUUUUUAUUUUGUAGAGAGAUUGAAGAUUAUACCCGUAUAUGUAAGAUGAACACCUUUCUUUUGGAUCGAUUGGUAUUUCUUUGAGGAUUGUUCGUAAUUGACACUUUAUGGCUAAUUUAUUGUCUAGUUUAUGUUUUUUUCUCUGGUCUAGGAUGUAACUUUACCGCUCUGAUAUCGAUGUAGUUGCAUUUUUCUAUUUGUUCUAUUUCUUACCUUUACGUUCCGCUUUUAUUCUGUUAGCGCGUUAUAUGUGUAGACAUAUGGCGGGUCUGGGCACGCUACGAGAGGCCUCGCCGCGGUCCGGGCGUAACAGAUUAAUUUGGUAUCAGAGCCUAGGGGUUGAGUCUUAGUGGCCUUUUUGCAAACUCUAGGCCGGUUGGACAAAAUGUAGGAAUAGGCUCAUGGAGACGCCAGUCUAAUUGACUUCGUGAGCGAAAGGUAUUUCGAUUGGUGUUAUGAUAACUCUGAAAAGAUGAGUAUGAUCGGAGUGUAUGGCUUCUAACUUCGCGGAGGGUUACGUUGGCGGCCGACAACGUAACAUCGGGAGUUAGUUGUGGAUAACACUUCCUUACUUUCGCGUGAUUUGGGUUUUGUUAAUUGAGCGGGGAUUCGAUAGUGCGGGUUACUAACUUGUACUUUUAUGUUCUGUAGUGACAUGCCGAUUACUCGCUCCCAAUCUGCCGGGGCGGAUAAUGCGGCACCCCUCGAGGAGGUCAAAACUUCCAUAACUUCCGGAUCCAGCGAGGUCCGUGACUUGAGGUCCCAGCUUGCAGUCCUCACUGACAUUGUAGCGCAGCAGGCGGUGGCUGCUCAGCGCAGGCCGAGAUGGCACAGCGGCAGGAGGCGCGGAUGAAGCAUCUGGAGGAUCUCUUGCUACAGCAGGCAGCAGCUUCUAGGGAGACUCAGGUCCCCACACCGCUAGCACCCGUAGUGGACGUCGCGCCGAGGGCGCAAUCCCGCGCACCCAGUUCUUCGCGUGCGGCACCAGCAACCACGCCUCGGGAGGAAGUGGUCGCAGCACCACCGGUUCAGAUACCCGCUGCGAAGGCAGCUUUCCCUGUGAUGGCCGAGGGAGCCUAGCGGGAUCGGCUCAUGGAUCGCCUCAGUGAGUUCAGGAGAUGCAGCCCGAGGAUCUUCGACGGCGAGAACGUCGACCACUGGAUUGUUGAGAAGUGGUUGAUGCAUAUGGAGAAGCUAUUUCGAGAUACCUUAGUUGAGGAGAGGGACAGGGUUUGGCUCGCCACCCACUUUCUGGACGGCGAGGCCUAUCGUUGGUGGUUGGAUAUCCAGGACAACCCCAACACCGACUUAACAGCGAUUACUUGGACGAGGUUCAAGGAGCUCAUUCUGGCACACUACUUCCCGACCAGCGCCAAGAGGAAGAUGGAGCAGGAUUUGCGCCAGGACGAGCGGUAAGUGGCCGAGUACGAGAGAGAGUUUUCUCGGCUACUCCACUGUGUACCUUUUGUGGUCCGGGACGAUGAGGACAAGGCCCGCAUCUUUGAGCGUGGAUUGCGGCCUUCGAUCUUUCGGUUGGUACAGUCCUCCAACCUCCAAACCUACCGGGAGGUUGUGGACUGUGCACUCAUUGUGGAGGCUAGAGUGGCAGACCUUCAGAAGCGACACGAGGCCCUAGACAAGGGCAAGGGGAAGAGGCCCGCGGCUGAGGGUGCGAGCCAGACGCACUCACGGAGGCCGCCGAGGCACCCCAAGAGCCGGAGCCAGUCGCGAGGACGUGGCUCGACUACCCAGCGAGGAGGACCCGAUCGUCGUCAGGCUCCUCGCUGCGUGAUCUGUGGUGGUCCUCAUUACCCACGACAGUGUUCACGCAGCCGGGGCAGGUGCUUCUUGUGUGGCCAGGAGGGCCACUUCCAGUCGAACUGUCCGAGGAGUCCAGCGCCAGCGCCAUCUUCGGCAUCUGCACCAGCAUCACCAGGUCCCAGCCAAGGGACAUCUUCUGCAUCACCAGGCAGGACGGCCGCCAGUUCAGCGGCAUGGGGACGAGUCACGACAGGCCCCGAGUGGGCGCAUGUAUGCGGCCCAGACUGAGGAGGCGGCCGCAGCCGAGAAUGUGGUCACAGGUAUCAUUUUACUUUAUGGUAUUCGAGUUAGAGCAUUAUUUGAUACCGGUGCAUCGCAUUCAUUUAUAGAUCGGUUGUUUGCCGAGUUGCAUGGCAUCCCACUUGUAUCCUUGUUGCAUCCGGGAUGAGUUGUUGUACCCGAUCAUUUUUUGGAUAUUCGGGAGUUUUGCCCCAGUUGCCCUGUUCGGGUUGGAGAUUGGAUCAUGCUCGUGGACUUGCUAGCUUUGCAUAAACUCGGAGAGUUUGACGUUGUGUUGGGCAUGGAUUGGUUGACUGAGUAUUUCGCCACUAUCGAUUGCAAGAAUCGGACGGUGACAUUUAGAGAGCCGGGGCAGGCGGAGGUUGUGUACCGAGGAUGCCGGAGUUCGCUGUUUGCGAUGACGAUUAGCUCCUCUCGAGCUAGGCAGUUGAUUAGUAGAGGCUGCAUAGUCUACUUGGCUACUAUUGUGUUGCGGGGUGUGGAUAACACCCCUAGGAUUGAGGAUAUCCUCGUAGUGCGGGAGUUUGGAGAUGUGUUUCCAGCGGAGCUUCCAGGCAUGCCACUUGAUAGGGAGAUUGAGUUUGUGGUAGAUCUCGUUCUCGGGACUACUCCAAUCUCAAAGGCACCCUAUAGGAUGGCACCAGCAGAAUUAAAGGAGCUGAAGGCACAGUUGCAAGAUCUUCUGGACAAGGAUUUCGUGAGACCGAGUGUGUCACCUUGGGGAGCACCGGUUCUGUUUGUGAAGAAGAAUGAUGGAUCACUUCGCUUAUGCGUGGACUAUCGUGAACUUAAUAAAGUCACGAUCAAGAACAAGUAUCCAUUACCGAGGAUUGAUGAUCUAUUUGAUCAGCUUCAGGGAUCUUGUGUAUAUUCCAAGAUUGACUUGCAGUCGGGAUAUCACCAGUUGAGGAUCAGACCUGAGGAUGUGUCGAAGACGGCUUUUAGAACACGGUAUGGACAUUACGAGUUUACCGUUAUGCCGUUUGGGCUUACUAAUGCCCCGGCAGCUUUUAUGGAUUUAAUGAACCGUGUUUUCAAGCCUUACCUAGACAGGUUCGUCGUAGUAUUCAUCGACGACAUUUUGGUCUAUUCCCGAAGUGAUGCGGAUCAUGAGGGACACUUGAGACUUGUACUUCAAGUGCUUCGGGAAAAGAAGCUCUAUGUCAAGUUGAAAAAGUGUGAAUUUUGGCUUGAGAGGUGGCGUUUUGGGGCCAUUUGAUUUCAGGAUCAGGCAUAACCGUGGACCCGAGGAAAAUAGAAGCUAUCAAGGAUUGGCCAAGGCCGACGAGCGUGACCGAGAUAAGGAGCUUCAUUGGUUUUGCCAGCUACUACCGACGGUUUGUUGAGGGGUUUGCAAAGUUAUCUACUCCCCUCACGAGGCUCACGCAUAAGGGAACUAAGUUCAUUUGGAAUGACGCGUGUGAAAGGAGCUUCUAAGAGUUGAAGCAGAGGUUGACAACCGCCCCAAUCCUUACCUUGCCGACUGCUGGAGCAGCGUAUGUGAUUUAUAGUGAUGCUUCCUUUAAUGGAUUGGGCUGUGUUUUGAUGCAGGACGGGAAAGUGAUCGCGUAUGCUUUUCGCCAAUUGAAGGAAUAUGAAAGAAACUAUCCCACUCACGACUUGGAGUUGGCGGCCGUAGUCUUUGCCUUGAAACUAUGGUGCCACUACAUAUACGGCGAGCGAUGCGAAGUAUAUACGGAUCACAAAAGCUUAAAGUAUCUAUUCACUCAGAAGGAGUUGAACUUGAGGCAGUGCAGAUGGUUGGAGCUACUCAAGGAUUAUGAUUUGACGAUACUUUACCACCCGGGCAAGGCUAACAUGGUGGCGGAUGCGCUAAGUCGGAAAUCGACGGAAAACUUAGCGAUGCUUGUGGUUACCCAACCGCCGUUGAUCGAGCAGAUGAAGCGGUUGGAGUUGGAGGUGGUGGCUCCUGAUACACCUUUGAGACUGAUAACUUUGGUGGUGCAACCUACACUUAUGGAAAGGAUUAAAGAAAAGCAAGCCUCCAACUCCGAGUUGCAAAAGAUUCGAGCUAAGAUGGUUGAUGGUUGCACCGGUGACUUCACUUUAGACGGUGAUGGAUUGAUGCGUUUCCGCGGACGACUUUGUGUACCGGCGGACUUGGGCAUUAAAGAGGAUAUUCUUCAAGAAGCACACCGAGCACCGUAUGCUAUACAUCCGGGAGGCACCAAGAUGUACAAGGACUUGAAGUUGCUUUAUUGGUGGCCCGGGAUGAAAAAGGAUGUUGGUGAGUUUGUUGCUAGAUGUUUAACUUGCCAACAGGUGAAGGCUGAGCACCGAGUUCCUGCGGGGAAGUUGCAGAGCCUACCGAUUCCAGUGUGGAAAUGGGAAAAGAUCACCAUGGAUUUCGUGAUGGGAUUGCCUCGCUCACAGGCCGGGCAUGACGCUAUUUGGGUGAUUGUGGAUAGAUUGACGAAAUCGGCACAUUUCAUACCUAUCCACACUACUUGGACUGGUGAGAGACUCGCACAGGUAUACUUGGAUGAGAUUGUGCGAUUGCACGGGGUACCUACUUCUAUCGUUUCAGAUCGAGAUCCCCGUUUUGUAUCCCACUUUUGGAGGAGCUUACAGGACGCUCUGGGUACGCGUUUGGACUUCAGUACAGCUUUCCACCCUCAGAGUGACGGGCAGUCGGAGCGUACUAUACAGACUCUCGAGGACAUGCUUCGAGCCUGCGUGAUUGACUUCCAGGGAGGAUGGUCGCAGCAUCUACCGAUGGCAGAGUUUGCUUAUAACAACAGUUAUCAAGCAAGCAUCAAGAUGGCACCGUUCGAGGCACUCUAUGGACGGAAGUGUAGAUCGCCACUUCAUUGGAGUGAAGUUGGCGAGAGAUUGGCUUUAGGCCCAGAUGUGCUCCAGGAAGCAGAGGACAAGGUUCGCAUUGCUCGGGAGCGAUUGUUGACGGCCCAGAGUAGGCAGAGGAGUUAUGCUGAUCGGCGUCGACGAGACUUGGAGUUUCAGAUUGGAGACCAUGUGUUCUUGAAAGUCUCGCCGACCAAAGGAAUUAGAAGAUUUGGAAUCCGGGGUAAGUUGAGCCCCCGAUACAUUGGACCAUAUGAGAUUUUGGAGCGUGUAGGCCCGGUGGCGUAUAGACUUGCUCUACCGCCAAACCUAUCGGGUGUACACAAUGUAUUCCAUGUAUCGGUCCUUCGGAAGUACAUCCACGACCCGGCUCAUGUGUUGGAUGCUACACCUAUGGAGCUGCGGGAGGAUUUGAGCUUUGAGGAGCAACCCUUGAGGAUUUUGGCUCGCGAGGUGAAAAGAUUGCGGAACCGAGAAAUUCCCUACGUGAAGGUGCUUUGGAGCAACCACGACGAGCGCGAGGCCACUUGGGAGCUGGAGAGCGCACUGCGGGAGCGCUAUCCCCAUCUUUUUCAGAUGGAGGCUUGAGGUACUUUGUCCUUUUGAGUUUCGCGGACGAAACUCCUUUUUAGGAGGGGUGAAUGUAACACACUGGACCUUUGCAAAUUGCGAGGUUCGAGUGUUUGGUUGUAUUUCGAGCUUUUCCACACUUGGUGGAGGGUUGUAGAAUGUUUUCCGACCUAAAACGUUCGAAAACUGGAAUUCUGGACAAGUCCUGAGAGUUUUUACUCUCGGGGACCGGUCCCUGGAAGGAGAGACCGGUCCCCAAGUGAGCAGUGUUGCGGCAGCCCAGAGGCAACCGGUCCUUGGCGGGCGAGACCGGUCCCCGAGCGCGUCUACGCAGUGAGAGACCGGUCCCGCGCAGGGAGAGACCGGUUCCCGAACGUUGGUUUUUCGGGUUCGCAGCGAGAGACCGGUCCCUGCUGGGGAGAGACCGGUCCCUCUGGGCGAAAACUGCCCAGUUCGGGCUGAUGUAAAUUUGAGUUUUUGAGGGGCCUCUCCGGAUUUUGUUACACUAGAUGGGCUUAUUAGCCAUUUCCUCCUCUUCCCUAUCUCAUUUUCUCAUUCUCACCCUCUCCCUACACCUUCUAGAGAGAGAAGAAGAAGAAGAAGGAGGAGAAGAAGAAGAGGAGCUUGCUUGAGGGAGCUUGGAGCUCAACCCCCUUUCUCUCCUUUCCACCCUUGCUUGGCUUGGAGCUUGCUUGUAGAGCUUGGUGGUGGACCAAUCUUCAACCCUAGAAGAUUUGGAGCUUGUUUGGAGGCAUCUUGGGAGGUUAGUACUUGGAUUCUACCCUUUGAUCCUUGAUUUGGUAGGUUUUACCAUAUGGAACCCUAGAAUGGAUAUUAGGGUUGAUUUUUGGGGCUUUUUGAUCUAGGGCUUUUGAGGCUAAAUUGAUUGGUUUAGAACCUUCCUUGGGCUUGGAUUGGAAGGGAUUUAGCUCUCUUUUGGAGCUUG